rnacentral:rRNA from 1 species
CCUACGGGUGGCUGCAGUAAGGAAUAUUGGGCAAUGGAGGCAACUCUGACCCAGCCAUGCCGCGUGAAGGAUGACGGCCCUAUGGGUUGUAAACUUCUUUUAUACGGGAAUAAACCCGGGUACGUGUACCCGGCUGAAUGUACCGUAAGAAUAAGGAUCGGCUAACUCCGUGCCAGCAGCCGCGGUAAUACGGAGGAUCCAAGCGUUAUCCGGAUUCAUUGGGUUUAAAGGGUGCGUAGGCGGAUUUGUAGAAAGCCUACAGCUUAACUGUAGAACUGCCGUUGAUACUGCAAGUCUUGAGUACAUUUGAUGUGGGCGGAAUGUGUCAUGUAGCGGUGAAAUGCUUAGAUAUGACACGGAACACCGAUUGCGAAGGCAGCUCACAAAACUGUAACUGACGCUGAGGCACGACAGCGUGGGGAUCAAACAGGAUUAGAUACCCCUGUAGUC